UGGGUUGACUUAUGCACAGGAGAGCCAAUAUCUUUCGGGGGAGCCUGGUAGCAAGCAAAGGGCGCAUGACUGCCCCCUACUGGUCACCAAAGGGCUAGCAGGGAUGGCCGGUCCAUCAGAGCACAGGGAUGCCGCGGAGGGGACGUCCCGCCACAUGGAUGGGCCAGUAACUGCCCGUUCUGUCUAACCAGCCUGGGCGAAGUCAUUCAGUGAUGUCAUCUCCCAGUCCGUGAGGUCACAAUUCAGCCGCACGGAGGUGUGCCCCAGGCUGGAGACAACCGAGGGCUAGGCGGACCCUGAGUGAAGACGUCCACCUUUCACUCCAGGGACUCAGCGGGAGGCCUGGAGCCCUGCGGGAGGAAGCAGGAUCCAGCAGUGAACUGGGAUCUUCAGCAGCACCACGCGGGGGCCACUGGUCUAGAGGCAAGAGUGCCUUGUGAUGAAUUACUAGCCCCACUUCCUGAGAGGCCUCCCCGACAAGCAUUGCAGCAGCCCAACCGCGUGUAACUGCGAAUACUACACAGCACAACAAUGCAACGGGCGACAACGACAGAGAAAGGCAAAUCUAGCACUGAAGGCGCUGGAGAGCCUUGGAAGGUUAGGAACAGUCAGUGACAUCACCGAACCUGCUUCUCGAGCUGGAGAGAUUAGAAGAGGGUCAGAGGAUCACUGUGGAUCUUCUCUUGCACCUGGCUGCUUACCUGUGACUCCUGCAAGCAGAGAGCAGCGUGGCUGAAUGGAAAACAGCUUGUAGAGAACAGACUCGUGUCCCAUAACCCUGGACUCAAACAGCCUUGAAUGUUUCUAGGGGAGUGUCUCGGAAACUGUAGCCAGGACCAAACUGGCUCUGAUCACUCUGGUGGGCUGAACCGGAGUCCUGACUCCACAAUGCUCCUGAACACGGGGGUGUUCAAUCGUCGUCCCUCCCCUCCCCGUACUGCGGUACAAGCCCCAGCGGGCUGUGCCGAACACUUGUUGGAGGUGCGCUGACCAGAUCAGAGUUAGGAUGGGUGGGGACAAGAGCAAGAAGGUGAAUCGCCGUCAGAGAGACAGUCUCUCAACCAGUUCCCAGGCUGGCAUCACACUGAGAAAUGAGCCAGAGGAACACAGAACUGGAACCAAAGUGCUGAUGUUCCGAAUGGUGGGUUGACGGUGGGAUGAGCAAGGUUCUGCCCACCAACACUGCCUGCCAACAGGUGCCAGGAAGAACCAAGGAUCUCCCAUGAUGUUCCCACAAGAUUUUAGAGUCUGAGGUUGUUCCUAUGGGAAAGUUCCUACCCAGCCUUCUGUGAGAUAACCCUAAAUGAAAUGAGUCUUUUGAAGUCUCUCAUUGCUAAAGGCAGCUAUGAAAUUUUGCUUGACGGGGCAAAUAUUUAUGAUCAAAAUAAUCAACUAUCCAACUGCAAUAAAUUCUAUCAUCCAGAUUCCCCCCAAAGACCCCUAAACUACAUGAUUUGACGGAGAAUCCAGGAUGGAGCAUAAAUUCCAUUCAGCUGGUUUCCAAACCAUUAAAUGUAAUUUCCAAAUAUUUGUCAGGCUCUUCCACGAGAUGAAUUAAGCUGUGAGGUCCCUGGAGUUUCCGCAGGACGUUAAUGGUGGAAAGAGCAGCGCGUGUCCCAGUCAAUGUCGGUGCCAGGGGGUGUCUUAGGAACCGAGUGUAGGGAGACAGACCCACAAAGAGGCCAGGCACCUAACUGUCCUCAAACUCAGUCUGGAGAGGUUGGGCCCUGGAGCCUUUCAGGGAGGACUUCCUGGUGUGCCGCUAGUCUGCAGCAGAAGUGACCCACAGUUGUUAGCAUCUGACGCCUGUCGGGGGGUCUGUGGGAAAUGAGGGGAAGGAGACCCCAGUUCCCAAGGGAUGGAUGUCUCUAAUCUUGGACCUAUCUGCCUCGCUUGCCUGGAGGCUCAAUAGAGCAGCCAGUGACUCAAGGGGACACGCAGCCUUCAGCCCUUCAAGAUGACCCUUUAGGCACAUUGGCAAGAACAG